UACGUAGGUGGCAAGCGUUGUCCGGAAUUAUUGGGCGUAAAGCGCGCGCAGGCGGCUUCUUAAGUCUGAUGUGAGAUCUUGCGGCUCAACCGCAAACGGUCAUUGGAAACUGGGAAGCUUGAGUGCAGAAGAGGAGAGUAGAAUUCCACGUGUAGCGGUGAAAUGCGUAGAUAUGUGGAGGAAUACCAGUGGCGAAGGCGGCUCUCUGGUCUGUAACUGACGCUGAGGCGCGAAAGCGUGGGGAGCAAACAG
rnacentral:rRNA from 1 species